AGUGGUGGCUCAGUGGUUAAGAUGUUGUGAUACUGAUCAGAAGGUCAUGAGUUCAAACCUCAUCACCACCA